UUUAUUGCCUGGCAAUGGCAAUUCUGUAAUUGAAGAGUCUCCCAGUGCUGCUGCUGUUGAAGUGUUACCUGAAAACUUUGAUGCCGCUGCCGAACUUGCUGCAGAAAUAAAAAAAAUCCAAGAAUCGAAAGUGAAGAUUUCUCAAUGGCAGCAAAGAAGAAUGAAGGCUGAAAUUUCUUGGGAAGAAAGUCGGUCAGUUCUAUAUGAGUGGGAGGUGUGUAGGCACGCUGUUCCAGUUGAAGACACAAAAUGCUUCAAAUGUAUGAUUGAAGCCAGCAUCAAAUGUGAAGAUUGUCAUCGCCUAUUCUGCUACCACUGUGAUAU